CAGACACCCUACAGACACAACCCCCAAACACACACACACACACCACACACAUACAUACACACACACAAACACCAACGAACGAUACAACAAGAAAAACAAUAACAAAAAACGAAACAAGCGAGAAUUAUACGUUGAUGAUGAAUUGGCACCCGCCCAGCCAUGCAAGUGGCGCCUAGGGGCGUUGCGAAUGUGGGGUCUGGUUCCUCCGGGAAUGAGGCCCCACCUCUCCACCGACAACUCUCUUCACAAGCGAAGACGCGCGACUCUGUUACCAUUACUUUUUCGUUUGUUCUGUACAUUUGAAUACGCAUUUGAUUGCUCAUUGCUCGCACGAAAGGUAAUCCCAAGUGCCCCCCCCCCCCCCUCCCUCGCUGCGGAGUGGUGGGUAGGGACGGGGGGCGCCGCCAACUGCCUAGCCGGCAGGCAGGUACGUCCUAGACGUGUAAGUCAAUCCGAUAAUUAGUGUCUCUAAGUAUGUACGAUGCCAGUAAGUAUGUGCCAGAGUGUGUACCAAUCAGAUCUGUAUUAUUAAGUCUUACUUAGGUGCAACAGUUGACGGGGCAGUGUUUGAGGAGAGGGAAGUGUAAGAGAAGGGAGAAGGAGGAAUGUUGAGAUGGCAGGAGAAGGAAGAGUGAAUGAGGAGGAGAAGGAGGAAGGAAGAUGGAGCGUGCGGCAUGGAAGCCACUAGAGAGCUAUGCGAUGCUGCUUCAGCCGAUAACAACCAACAGAGCACCAACAACCACACCAUUUGUACCUUUACUUAAAAUAUUAUCCCCCUACCCUCACCCCCUCCCCCAUAUAUAUAUAUAUGCAAUCAUUAGUCAACUGUUGUUAGUUGUUGUUAAUAGGGCCCCCGAGGCCCCGUCCUAGGUAUUAUAUGAGUACAACCCCCGCACCCUAAUCCGCCCGGUACUCCUCCCUACUCCCUGGCGGAGUGGAGUGCAGUGCAGUGGAGUUUGUGUGUGUGGGUGUGAGUGAGUGACCUUGUGACAGGUAUGUGUUAGCUUGUAAGCGCCAAAACUGAAACCCAAACUGAAACCGGAGUUGGUGUCUCCCGACGAUACACGGCGACUACGUCUGCGUUUCCCGGGGUCUGCAUCGUCCUGCAACAACCGAAUCAUCAACGUGUUUCGUUUCUCACCGACUAUCCAA